rnacentral:rRNA from 1 species
AUUGAACGCUGGCGGAAUGCUUUACACAUGCAAGUCGAGCGGAUGAGAAGAGCUUGCUCUUCGAUUCAGCGGCGGACGGGUGAGUAAUGCCUAGGAAUCUGCCUGGUAGUGGGGGACAACGUUUCGAAAGGAACGCUAAUACCGCAUACGUCCUACGGGAGAAAGCAGGGGACCUUCGGGCCUUGCGCUAUCAGAUGAGCCUAGGUCGGAUUAGCUAGUUGGUGAGGUAAUGGCUCACCAAGGCGACGAUCCGUAACUGGUCUGAGAGGAUGAUCAGUCACACUGGAACUGAGACACGGUCCAGACUCCUACGGGAGGCAGCAGUGGGGAAUAUUGGACAAUGGGCGAAAGCCUGAUCCAGCCAUGCCGCGUGUGUGAAGAAGGUCUUCGGAUUGUAAAGCACUUUAAGUUGGGAGGAAGGGCAGUAAGUUAAUACCUUGCUGUUUUGACGUUACCGACAGAAUAAGCACCGGCUAACUCUGUGCCAGCCGCCGCGGUAAUAC